rnacentral:rRNA from 1 species
UACAGAGGUCCCAAGCGUUUGUCCGGAUUUAUUGGGCGUAAAGAGCGUGUAGGCGGCUCGGUAAGUCCGCUGUGAAAGUCCAGGGCUCAACCCUGGAAUGCCGGUGGAUACUGUCGGGCUCGAGUCCGGAAGAGGAGUGUGGAAUUCCUGGAUGUGAGACGGUGAAAUGCGCGAGAUAUCGAGGAGGAACACCAAUGGCGGAAGGCAGCACUCUGGGAGCGUGAACUGGACGGCUGAAGACGGUCGAAAGACCGUGGGGAGCAAACACGGAAUAGAA